rnacentral:rRNA from 1 species
CUAAGAAUAUUCCGCAAUGGACGGAAGUCUGACGGAGCGACGCCGCGUGGAUGAUGAAGGCCGAAAGGUUGUAAAGUUCUUUUGCUGGGGAAGAAUAAGCCUAGGAGGGAAUGCCUAGGUGAUGACAUGAACCGGCGAAUAAGCCCCGGCCAACUACGUGCCAGCAGCCGCGGUAACACGUAGGGGGCGAGCGUUGUUCGGAAUUACUGGGCGUAAAGGGCAUGUAGGCGGUCUGGUAAGCCUGGCGUGAAAGACUGCAGCUUAACUGCAGGGAUGCGCUGGGAACUGCUGGGCUUGAGUGACGGAGAGGGAGCUGGAAUUCCUGGUGUAGGGGUGAAAUCUGUAGAUAUCAGGAAGAACACCGAUGGCGAAGGCAAGCUCCUGGCCGAUGACUGACGCUGAGGUGCGAAAGUGUGGGGAUCAAACAG